rnacentral:rRNA from 1 species
AGCGUACACGGUGGAUGCCCUGGCAGUCAGAGGCGAUGAAGGACGUGCUAAUCUGCGAUAAGCGUCGGUAAGGUGAUAUGAACCGUUAUAACCGGCGAUUUCCGAAUGGGGAAACCCAGUGUGAUUCGUCACACUAUCAUUAACUGAAUCCAUAGGUUAAUGAGGCGAACCGGGGGAACUGAAACAUCUAAGUACCCCGAGGAAAAGAAAUCAACCGAGAUUCCCCCAGUAGCGGCGAGCGAACGGGGAGCAGCCCAGAGCCUGAAUCAGUGUGUGUGUUAGUGGAAGCGUCUGGAAAGGCGCGCGAUACAGGGUGACAGCCCCGUACACAAAAAUGCACAUACUGUGAGCUCGAUGAGUAGGGCGGGACACGUGGUAUCCUGUCUGAAUAUGGGGGGACCAUCCUCCAAGGCUAAAUACUCCUGACUGACCGAUAGUGAACCAGUACCGUGAGGGAAAGGCGAAAAGAACCCCGGCGAGGGGAGUGAAAAAGAACCUGAAACCGUGUACGUACAAGCAGUGGGAGCACGCUUCGGCGUGUGACUGCGUACCUUUUGUAUAAUGGGUCAGCGACUUAUAUUCUGUAGCAAGGUUAACCGAAUAGGGGAGCCGAAGGGAAACCGAGUCUUAACUGGGCGUUAAGUUGCAGGGUAUAGACCCGAAACCCGGUGAUCUAGCCAUGGGCAGGUUGAAGGUUGGGUAACACUAACUGGAGGACCGAACCGACUAAUGUUGAAAAAUUAGCGGAUGACUUGUGGCUGGGGGUGAAAGGCCAAUCAAACCGGGAGAUAGCUGGUUCUCCCCGAAAGCUAUUUAGGUAGCGCCUCGUGAAUUCAUCUCCGGGGGUAGAGCACUGUUUCGGCAAGGGGGUCAUCCCGACUUACCAACCCGAUGCAAACUGCGAAUACCGGAGAAUGUUAUCACGGGAGACACACGGCGGGUGCUAACGUCCGUCGUGAAGAGGGAAACAACCCAGACCGCCAGCUAAGGUCCCAAAGUCAUGGUUAAGUGGGAAACGAUGUGGGAAGGCCCAGACAGCCAGGAUGUUGGCUUAGAAGCAGCCAUCAUUUAAAGAAAGCGUAAUAGCUCACUGGUCGAGUCGGCCUGCGCGGAAGAUGUAACGGGGCUAAACCAUGCACCGAAGCUGCGGCAGCGACACUAUGUGUUGUUGGGUAGGGGAGCGUUCUGUAAGCCUGUGAAGGUGUGCUGUGAGGCAUGCUGGAGGUAUCAGAAGUGCGAAUGCUGACAUAAGUAACGAUAAAGCGGGUGAAAAGCCCGCUCGCCGGAAGACCAAGGGUUCCUGUCCAACGUUAAUCGGGGCAGGGUGAGUCGACCCCUAAGGCGAGGCCGAAAGGCGUAGUCGAUGGGAAACAGGUUAAUAUUCCUGUACUUGGUGUUACUGCGAAGGGGGGACGGAGAAGGCUAUGUUGGCCGGGCGACGGUUGUCCCGGUUUAAGCGUGUAGGCUGGUUUUCCAGGCAAAUCCGGAAAAUCAAGGCUGAGGCGUGAUGACGAGGCACUACGGUGCUGAAGCAACAAAUGCCCUGCUUCCAGGAAAAGCCUCUAAGCAUCAGGUAACAUCAAAUCGUACCCCAAACCGACACAGGUGGUCAGGUAGAGAAUACCAAGGCGCUUGAGAGAACUCGGGUGAAGGAACUAGGCAAAAUGGUGCCGUAACUUCGGGAGAAGGCACGCUGAUAUGUAGGUGAGGUCCCUCGCGGAUGGAGCUGAAAUCAGUCGAAGAUACCAGCUGGCUGCAACUGUUUAUUAAAAACACAGCACUGUGCAAACACGAAAGUGGACGUAUACGGUGUGACGCCUGCCCGGUGCCGGAAGGUUAAUUGAUGGGGUCAGCGCAAGCGAAGCUCUUGAUCGAAGCCCCGGUAAACGGCGGCCGUAACUAUAACGGUCCUAAGGUAGCGAAAUUCCUUGUCGGGUAAGUUCCGACCUGCACGAAUGGCGUAAUGAUGGCCAGGCUGUCUCCACCCGAGACUCAGUGAAAUUGAACUCGCUGUGAAGAUGCAGUGUACCCGCGGCAAGACGGAAAGACCCCGUGAACCUUUACUAUAGCUUGACACUGAACAUUGAGCCUUGAUGUGUAGGAUAGGUGGGAGGCUUUGAAGUGUGGACGCCAGUCUGCAUGGAGCCGACCUUGAAAUACCACCCUUUAAUGUUUGAUGUUCUAACGUUGACCCGUAAUCCGGGUUGCGGACAGUGUCUGGUGGGUAGUUUGACUGGGGCGGUCUCCUCCUAAAGAGUAACGGAGGAGCACGAAGGUUGGCUAAUCCUGGUCGGACAUCAGGAGGUUAGUGCAAUGGCAUAAGCCAGCUUGACUGCGAGCGUGACGGCGCGAGCAGGUGCGAAAGCAGGUCAUAGUGAUCCGGUGGUUCUGAAUGGAAGGGCCAUCGCUCAACGGAUAAAAGGUACUCCGGGGAUAACAGGCUGAUACCGCCCAAGAGUUCAUAUCGACGGCGGUGUUUGGCACCUCGAUGUCGGCUCAUCACAUCCUGGGGCUGAAGUAGGUCCCAAGGGUAUGGCUGUUCGCCAUUUAAAGUGGUACGCGAGCUGGGUUUAGAACGUCGUGAGACAGUUCGGUCCCUAUCUGCCGUGGGCGCUGGAGAACUGAGGGGGGCUGCUCCUAGUACGAGAGGACCGGAGUGGACGCAUCACUGGUGUUCGGGUUGUCAUGCCAAUGGCACUGCCCGGUAGCUAAAUGCGGAAGAGAUAAGUGCUGAAAGCAUCUAAGCACGAAACUU